UAUAUCAUUCGUUUAUCAAUUUCUAAGAGAUGGCCAAGUUUCGAGUUUGCUCCCCAUUGUUCCUUGCUCUUCUUUUCUCAUUGGCGUUCAUGGUACCUCAAGCAGCCCUUUCAGUAGAUUGUGUUGAUAAGUUGUAUGAAGGAUGCCUGCCUGAAGACUGCAAGCAGAAGUGUCUAGAAAAGCAUCCUGGAUCAACAUCUCAGUGCGUGGCUGCCCCUCCCGUUCCUUUUACCUACCUUUGUUAUUGCUCCUACCAUUGCACUAACAACUGAGUGCUUUUAAUCCUAUCAUAUGGUGGGAAUGUCAUAAAAUGAUUGGGUGACUUUUUCUUCAUUGAACCCACACUUAUCAUGAUAUAUUAAAGUUU